rnacentral:rRNA from 1 species
AGCGAACGCUGGCGGCAGGCUUAACACAUGCAAGUCGAGCGGGCACUUUCGGGUGUCAGCGGCGGACGGGUGAGUAACGCGUGGGAACGUGCCCUCUGGUUCGGAAUAACUCAGGGAAACUUGAGCUAAUACCGGAUACGCCCUUUUGGGGAAAGGCUUGCUGCCGGAGGAUCGGCCCGCGUCUGAUUAGCUAGUUGGUGAGGUAACGGCUCACCAAGGCGACGAUCAGUAGCUGGUCUGAGAGGAUGAUCAGCCACACUGGGACUGAGACACGGCCCAGACUCCUACGGGAGGGAGCAGGGGGGAAUAUUGGAAAAGGGGCGCAAGCCUGAUCCAGCCAGGCCGGGUGAGGGAAGAAGGCCUUAGGGUUGUAAAGCUCUUUUAUCCGGGAAGAUAAUGACGGUACGGGGGGAAAAAGCCCCGGCAAAUUUCGU